UUCUCUCCAAUCGCAAAAAAAGGUGGUCUCACAAGUGAAUAAGGGAAACAUUUUGCAAGUACCUCUCUCAGUUUGACUGCCACGUAGCUAUCAAUUGGGCUAGACUCCAUGCAAGUUUGUUGCACACCUGUUAGUCAGGCCUAGUUGUGUACUCUGGUGUGAUUAAUCUAUCUAUCCAACCAGAAACCACUGAAAUGUUACUUUUAUAUUUUUGCAAAUUUUUUUCGUGCUUUUUAUAUUUCUAUGAAUGGCGCUAAACUACCCGAACCAGUGGUGAAAAUUGAGGUUUUGCAUAAACCCUUUGCCUGCUUUCAGAAGUCGAAAUAUGGAGACAUACUUCUUGUGCACUUUGAGGGAUUUCUGGAGAGCAAUGGCACCAUGUUUCAUUCCAGCCGUAACCACAGGGACAAGCAGCCAGUGUGGUUCACCCUGGGGAUCUGAGAGGUGAUCAAGGGUUGGGAUAAGGGGCUGAAGAACAUGUGUCCAGGAGGGAGGAGGGAGCUCAUUAUCCCCCCAGCUCUGGCCUAUGGCAAAGAGGGAAAAGGUGAAGGAGGAAAGAGUUUGAAAGACAUGGCUACCCUGCUAAUGAUACGCGUCAUGAGGCGAUGGUGCAGGACUGAUUCAUAUCUUCUAGAGAGUCUACCUACAAACAUAAUGAGCUGUAGAAGUCUGAAAUGAGUUUGCAGUAGGUCAAGCGAAUGUCUGUGUUGUUAGCCCAGGUAUAAACCAGCCUUUACUCCUAUUAACAUGUCAUUUGAACUGGUUAAUCGGUCAUGAAUGUACCAUUAAAGUGUUCUGAGGAGCGCUCAGGAUUUACUGCUUUAUA